GGAUGCGAUCAUACCAGCACUAAAGCACCGGAUCCCAUCAGAACUCCGAAGUUAAGCGUGCUUUGGGCGAGAGUAGUACUAGGAUGGGUGACCUCCUGGGAAGUCCUCGUGUUGUCAUUU
rnacentral:rRNA from 16 species